rnacentral:rRNA from 1 species
AUGGCGACCAAGAGGAGCGUGGGCACCCUCGGGGAGGCGGAUCUCAAGGGGAAGAAGGUGUUCGUGCGCGCCGACCUCAACGUGCCGCUCGACGACGCCCAGAAGAUCACCGACGACACCCGCAUCCGCGCAUCCAUCCCCACCAUCAAGUACCUCCUCGAGAAGGGCGCCAAGGUCAUCCUGGCCAGCCAUCUGGGCCGCCCAAAAGGUGUCACCCCCAAGUUCAGCUUGAAGCCUCUUGUUCCACGCUUGUCUGAGCUCCUUGGACUUGAAGUUGUGAUGGCCCCUGACUGCAUCGGUGAAGAAGUUGAGAAAUUGGCUGCUGCUUUGCCAGAUGGUGGUGUUCUACUCCUAGAGAAUGUUAGAUUCUACAAGGAGGAAGAGAAGAACGAUCCUGAGUUUGCUAAGAAGCUUGCAUCAGUUGCUGACCUUUAUGUAAAUGAUGCUUUCGGCACUGCACAUAGGGCUCAUGCUUCAACCGAGGGUGUAACCAAGUUUUUGAUGCCUUCUGUUGCUGGCUUCCUCAUGCAGAAGGAACUUGACUAUCUUGUCGGAGCUGUUGCCAACCCAAAGAAGCCAUUUGCUGCCAUUGUUGGUGGAUCCAAGGUCUCAUCUAAGAUUGGUGUGAUCGAGUCUCUGCUGGCCAAGGUUGAUAUCCUCAUCCUUGGUGGUGGUAUGAUCUUCACAUUCUACAAGGCCCAGGGAUUAGCUGUUGGAAAGUCUCUUGUGGAGGAAGACAAACUUGAACUGGCAACUUCACUGAUCGAAACGGCAAAGUCCAAGGGUGUUAAGCUCUUGCUUCCGACUGAUGUCGUUGUGGCUGACAAGUUUGCAGCAGAUGCCGAAAGCAAGAUUGUUCCUGCCACUGCUAUCCCUGAUGGUUGGAUGGGUCUGGAUGUUGGCCCAGAUUCCAUCAAGACUUUCGCAGAAGCCCUGGACACCACCAAGACUGUUAUCUGGAACGGUCCUAUGGGAGUCUUUGAGUUUGAGAAGUUUGCCGCAGGCACUGAUGUUAGUACAAUAUCACAUAAAUGUACAUUCAUCUAUCUCGUAUUCGUUGUUGUUGCUAAUGACAACUGUCCUUUUUCUCAGGCAAUCGCGAAGCAGUUGGCUGAGCUUACUGGGAAGGGUGUCACGACCAUCAUUGGUGGAGGUGACUCCGUUGCUGCUGUUGAGAAGGCUGGGCUGGCCGACAAGAUGAGCCACAUUUCGACCGGCGGUGGCGCGAGCUUGGAGCUGCUGGAAGGCAAGCCCCUCCCAGGUGUUCUUGCCCUUGACGAGGCGUAG